rnacentral:pre_miRNA from 1 species
CAGCCCGGAGCCUUGUCUCAACAUGUGAUGUAGUAUUCAGUUGAGCAAAGUUUCAGGCGAAU